CCCUUAGACGUUCUGGGCCGCACGCGCGCUACACUGACCAGUGCAACAAGCAUCCGUCCUUGGCCGACAGGCUCGGGCAAUCUUUGAACGCUGGUCGUGAUGGGGAUAGACUUUUGCAAUUUUUGGUCUUCAACGAGGAAUUCCUAGUAAACGCAAGUCAUCAACUUGCAUUGAUUACGUCCCUGCCCUUUGUACACACCGCCCGUCGCACCUACCGAUUGAAUGGUCCGGUGAAGCCUCGGGACGGCGGCUUGGUCGCUUGCGUCCGACUGCUGAAACUUGAUUAAACCAUAUCAUUUAGAGGAAGGUGAAGUCGUAACA
rnacentral:rRNA from 1 species